AGUGAACGCUGGCGGUAGGCCUAACACAUGCAAGUCGAACGGCAGCACAGUAAGAGCUUGCUCUUACGGGUGGCGAGUGGCGGACGGGUGAGGAAUACAUCGGAAUCUACUUUUUCGUGGGGGAUAACGUAGGGAAACUUACGCUAAUACCGCAUACGACCUACGGGUGAAAGCAGGGGAUCUUCGGACCUUGCGCGAUUGAAUGAGCCGAUGUCGGAUUAGCUAGUUGGCGGGGUAAAGGCCCACCAAGGCGACGAUCCGUAGCUGGUCUGAGAGGAUGAUCAGCCACACUGGAACUGAGACACGGGCCAGACUCCUACGGGAGGCAGCAGUGGGGAAUAUUGGACAAUGGGCGCAAGCCUGAUCCAGCCAUACCGCGUGGGUGAAGAAGGCCUUCGGGUUGUAAAGCCCUUUUGUUGGGAAAGAAAAGCAGCAGGUUAAUACCCCGCUGUUCUGACGGUACCCAAAGAAUAAGCACCGGCUAACUUCG
rnacentral:rRNA from 1 species